rnacentral:rRNA from 1 species
GACGAACGCUGGCGGCGUGCUUAACACAUGCAAGUCGAACGAAGUGGCGUACGUGUGAGUAACGCGUAAUCAACCUGCUCUUCAGAGGGGGACAACAGUUGGAAACGACUCCUAAUACCGCAUACUGAAGUAGGGGGUUUCGUCUGCUUAGCUAGUUGGAGGGGUAACGGCCCACAAAGGCGAGGAUCAGUAGCCGGUCUGAGGGGAGGAACGGCCACAUUGGGACUGAGACACGGCCCAGACUCCUAAGGGAGGCAGCAGGGGGGAAUCUUCCGAAAUGGACGAAAGUCUGACGGAGCAACGCCGCGUGAGUGAUGACGGCCUUCGGGUUGUAAAGCUCUGUUAAUCGGGACGCGGUACCGGAAUAGAAAGCCACGGCUAACUACGUGCCAGCCGCCGCGGUAAUUC